rnacentral:rRNA from 1 species
UACGGGGGGGGCAAGCGUUGUUCGGAAUUACUGGGCGUAAAGCGCACGUAGGCGGAUCGUUAAGUCGGGGGUGAAAUCCUGGAGCUCAACUCCAGAACUGCCUUCGAUACUGGCGAUCUGGAGUCCGGAAGAGGUGAGUGGAGCUCCUAGUGUAGAGGUGGAAUUCGUAGAUAUUAGGAAGAACACCAGUGGCGAAGGCGGCUCACUGGUCCGGUACUGACGCUGAGGUGCGAAAGCGUGGGGAGCAAACAGG